rnacentral:rRNA from 1 species
UACAGAGGUGGCAAGCGUUGUUCGGAAUUACUGGGCGUAAAGGGCGCGUAGGCGGCCUACUAAGUCAGACGUGAAAUCCCCCCGGCUUAACCUGGGAACUGCGUCUGAUACUGGAAGGCUUGAGGAUGGGAGAGGGGGGUGGAAUUCCACGUGUAGCAGUGAAAUGCGUAGAGAUGUGGAGGAAUACCGAUGGCGAAGGCAGCCCCCCUGGGACAUGACUGACGCUCAUGCACGAAAGCGUGGGGAGCAAACAGG